GACGAACGCUGGCGGCGUGCCUAAUGCAUGCAAGUCGCACGGGUCUCCUUCGGGUGGUCAGUGGCGAAUGGCUGAGGCACACGUGCGGACCUAUCCUUUAGUGGGGGACAACCGCGCGAAAGCGGUGCUAAUCCCGCAUACUCCCUGCGGAGGAAAGCGUGAGCAAUCAUGCGCUUAAGAUUGGCCCUCCGGCUCGUCAGGUAGUGGGCGGGGUAACGGCCCACCAAGCCCGUGACGGGUCGGUGGACUGUGAGGACGACAAGCCAGACAGGGACCAGGAUACGGCCCAGACCCCUACGGGAGGCAGCAGCAAGGAAUUUGCGGCAAUGGGCGAAAGCCGGACCGGGCAAGGCCGGGUGCGGGAUGACGGCCUUCGGGUGGUAAGCCGCUUUUGGGGGGAAGAAACAGACGGUACCCCCCGAAUCAGCCCCGGCUAACUCUGUG
rnacentral:rRNA from 1 species